rnacentral:rRNA from 1 species
UACGUAGGGUGCGAGCGUUAAUCGGAAUUACUGGGCGUAAAGCGUGCGCAGGCGGUUUUGUAAGCCGGAUGUGAAAUCCCCGGGCUUAACCUGGGAAUGGCAUUCGGGACUGCAAGGCUGGAGUGCGGCAGAGGAGACUGGAAUUCCUGGUGUAGCAGUGAAAUGCGUAGAUAUCAGGAGGAACACCAAUUGCGAAGGCAGCUCGCUGGGACGUUACUGACGCUGAGACGCGAAAGCGUGGGGAGCAAACAGG